AAACAAAGCCAGCAAGGUUACUUCCACUCCUUCCCCACUCAGGAAUUAAUUCAGCUGCAAAAUAUGACCAUUUCAAAGAAGAUAUCAAAACCAGUGAAUAUCCGGCACACAGCUCACUUGAAUCCUGGUCUCUUUGACCCAAGACUCUUUCUACAGUGCCACGGUGGCACCAUGGAUUCGUCAAAUGAACACCCAAGCCAGUCACAACCCAGCGAAACAUUAUCUUGUAUUGCACCAGCAGCAGCGAAAACAUUUCUCAACAAGCAAACUGUUCAGAGAAGCUGUGAUCUCAAAAUAGUUCUUUGGGAUGGCAAUGCUAGAUACAGGCAAUUCUGUCCCUAAGUUCUUUAAAAGCAUCCAUGCCUCAUUAUUGAAAAGAAACUUUUAAAACCAUCCAACACGAGGAGGCAGGGAGACAGAGGCAAUGCCGACUCAGAUGGUAUAUUCCUAUUUCAGUCUCGCUUUCUCCCACACCCUCCUGCUUUUCUGCUUUCUCUUGCUGCCUGCGCGUAUCCACCUAACACUCCCCCUGCAGUAAGCUGCAGAAUGGGACACUCUUGUUCCAAAGCCAGCCGGCAGCUGUCACAUAGCGGAGGCAGCAAGCAGCCUGAGCAAAGAGUGAACCUACUCUGUCAUUUAGGAUGACUCACAGGGAAUUGGCAUUAAUCCCUCUCUUUCUUGUAGUGGACGGAGCACAGCCAAAAAGCUACACUGGACUAGAUCAAGGUAAGGCUGGAAGAUUGCUUCUCUCUUUCUCUCUUUCUAGAUAUAUUAAAGCAAUACACCUCUGAGGCUUUGAUGGAUGGCUGACACUGGUACUCUACACCUGGCAUGGCAUGUCACUAGUAAUUCCUUCCUGGUCUUAGCCUCUGGGGUGCUGUUCUAGAGCUGUAGUCCUUGAUCACAACAGACAGAUUGAAGCCAGCCACAUAGAUUGCUUUUCUUUCUCAAGUGCAACUUUUCUUAAUGAGGGCAUUGCUCCCAAGCUCCGGC